GCUUAUGGCCACACCGCCUGGUUCACGGCUGAUCUCGUUUGAUCUCGGAAGCUAAGAUAAGUUAGGCCUGGUUAGUACUUGGAUGGGAGACCGCCUGGGAAUACCAGGUGCUGUAAGCU
ensembl:rRNA 5S_rRNA 5S ribosomal RNA